rnacentral:lncRNA from 1 species
GAGUCAUAAUUAUCUGCAUAGUGUCUUUAAUUACUCAAAAAAAAAAACCACAUACAAAUUAAUAGAAAAGAGGAGGGUGCAUGUUGGAUCAAUGAUGACCAGCGGUAGCCGUAUGAUUCAUGGAUCAUGACUACAGAUCUGGGAGUCUGAGUUCCACAUCUCAAUAGGACAUCAUCCCCCAAGCACUGUUACCGUUAUGAGUGCUAGUCUAUUUAUAUAAUUAGUUUAAAACAUAGAUAUAAAUUUGUAGCAUAUACUCCACUUAAGAUGUUACUUCUUAGGAAAAGUUUUAAGGAUAUAUCCCAAGGCAUGACUGAGGAUACCGUAUGAACCAUAAUUAAAGACAAUGUUCAUGGUCAGAUGUAGAGCUGCCUUUUUUCUCAAGAAGCACACAUAUUAGUGUGAUCUACAUUUUGGAUAAUAGUCAAGGAGAAAGUAGCAAGACAAGCAGGUAGCAGUCAUGGAUGUGUGAACAGAUUAAAAAUCUUUUUUAUUAUCUCUUCUGCUUUACAUUCUCAGGAUGGAUUCCCCCCAAGUUCAUUUAGAUAUUCUCUCUUAUUCAUAAAUGUCACGGUCAGCUCUGUUCUUAUAGAUACCAGAAUGGAUACCCCUAAGCUGAUGUAUAUACACCCUUCCUCGGUUGUGAGAUUCCUGCUCUGGUGGUUGUAGUCAUAAGAUAUACAUCGUUGCGUACACCUUGGUUGUGGGCACGCACACUACUGUUGAAUUACCACCUUGUCCAAGUGGAUGGAUGCCCUCAAUGGGAUUGGCACUUUCUCCAUUGCUCCUGCACUCUGUUAUCAGCACUUCGGGUUCAUAAUGUACACACAGCGUGAGUAUAGUCAACCUUGUGUUGAUUUGGGGUGCUCAGAAAUGCUCACACUGUGUUGAUAAAGCCGGCUUAUCAUUUGAGAUGAGAAGCCAUUGCCAAUGACUAAUAUGCCAUGUGACUUAAGAUAGUGUUUAACAGUUUUUUUUGUCAAAUUAAGAGUUAGUUAUUUUCCAGUGAAAAGUAUUUUGAUAAAGCUUUUCAUUUUAUAAAUAUACUGAGUUAAUACCCCAUCCAAAAA